CUGCCUCUCCAUCUACUUGUGAACUCUGUCAAAAAAAUAAAAUCUUAAAAAAAAAAAGUGCAUUUAUUAUUACAUCACCUCACAUCAUCUCCUCUUAUUAUGGUCUCAGUUACCCGUGGUCAUCUGUGGUCCAGAAGCCGAUGAUCCUCCUGGUGUAUCUUCAGAAUGUCAGUAGUAGCCGAACACUACACCACAGCACCCACGUCAUUCCCUUCACUUCAUCUCCUCACCUAGGCAUUUUACACCUCAGCAUCACAAGGGGAAGGGUGAGUACAGUAUAAUAAGAAAUAUUGUGAGAGAGAAAGACCACAUUCACUAAACUUUUGGUACAGUGUAUUAUAAAUGUUCUGUUUUAUUACUAGUUACUGUUAAUCUCUUAGUAAUCUGCCUAAUUUAUAAAUUAAAGUUGAUCAUAGACGUGUGCAUAGGAGGAAAACAGUAUGAGAGAGAGACUGUAUUCACAUCUUCUAUUACAGUAUAUUGUUAUAAUUGUUCUCUUUUAUUGUUGCUCAUCUGCUGUGCCUAAUUUUAAACUUUAUAUGGGUAUGCAUGUGUAGGAAAAAACAUAGUAUAUAUAGGGUUUAGUACUGUCCACAGUUUCAGGCAUCCAGUGGGGGUCUUGGAAAAUAUCCCCCAUGGAUAAGUGGGGACUUCUGCACAUACUAGUGAGGGAUCUGUGCCUUCAGCUUGAUCAGAUAAUGGCGUGUUUUUCCAAAGUGGCUGAAAUAACUUACAUUCCCACUAAUUCUGGAUGAGAGUUCAUUUUACUUUCUAUUCUUGCCAGCUCUUGACAUUGACAGAGAUAAUUUUUUUUUUUAAACCAAUUUGAUGUGUGUGAAAUGGUAUCUUCUUAUGGUUUUAACCCACAUUUGCUGACAUUCACCAUCCUGUGUUAGUUACCUGAAAUUUUUUUAAAAAAACCCCAAAUUGAAAAAUGCUGAAGUUCUUUUUGUCACACUCAUUCAGCGAUAUUAAGAACAGUUUUCCCUGAAGCAGCUGGUAUCCAACACAUGGAUGUUCACAGCGUGAUUCCCAUACACAGAGCGGAACUUCCUCGGGCUUGUAAAAUGAAGCCAAAGCUGCUGCCAGCCCUGUGAUUCUCUUCAGAACUGGUGGGUUUUUCCUAGAUUGAGUGUGAAUGUGCUGCUGCUUCUAGAAUGGAAGACAAGUACCAAAUAACUUGCAUCUCUCAUGCCUUCUGGAAACUCAUGCCUGGAAGAUAUGGCCACUCAUUCCUAUGCUGUGUGGUGGCCUUUAAGAGGGAGACAGCAACCCGCCAGCCUUCUGCAGAUGACUUGACUGCCGGCCAGGGUGGUGGUGACAAUUUCCUGUCCUAGAAUGAAUUCAAAGGAAAGCAGCUUCUCUUCUGUUUGGGACUGGGAACUCAUAUCAACCUUGAGAGGAAACUCAGGUGAUGAAGGGAAUAAAGCCAUCUCGGAACCCAGACAAGGGAUACGGCUUCAUCCACUCAGCCUCCUAUGCCUGUGUACACACUUUUCUUUGCUGUCCCAGGAUGAAGCCACAUGGGUCUGCAUAGUGUUACUCACCUCCCUGUGACACACUGUGCACAGCGUCUGCAGGUUGUCCAGGGAGCACUGUCCUCCUCCACCAGACACGGGCUUGAUGUGGUCCACCUGCCAGAAAUGCCCUUCUCCUGGGCUUCUUAUCAUUUCAUUAAGCUGCAGUAAGAA